rnacentral:rRNA from 1 species
AACGAACGCUGGCGGCAGGCCUAACACAUGCAAGUCGAGCGAGGACUUCGGUUCUAGCGGCGGACGGGUGAGUAACGCGUGGGAAUGUGCCCUUCUCUACGGAAUAGCUCUGGGAAACUGGGAGUAAUACCGUAUACGCCCUAUUGGGGAAAGAUUUAUCGGAGAAGGAUCAGCCCGCGUUGGAUUAGGUAGUUGGUGGGGUAAUGGCCUACCAAGCCGACGAUCCAUAGCUGGUUUGAGAGGAUGAUCAGCCACACUGGGACUGAGACACGGCCCAGACUCCUACGGAAGGCAGCAGUGGGGAAUCGUAGACAAUGGGGGCAACCCUGAUCUAGCCAUGCCGCGUAAGUGAUGAAGGCCUUAGGGUUGUAAAGCUCUUUCAGCUGGGAAGAUAAUGACGGUACCAGCAGAAGAAGCCCCGGCUAACUCCGUG